GCCCUUCUCUCAUCAGCACAAGAACAUGCUUCAGAAGAAUAUAUCAACUCCAGUGACGACAGAACCAAGUUAACUAGAAAAAGAAACUAUCAUUCAUCAUUAACUAACAACACGAUGAGCAGAUAUCCAUCAUCCUGCCCAACUUCUUUGUUUUCUCCCCGGACCUUUUUCCUUUUUUUAUUUCCUUUCUUCAAUUUCUUUCCUCCUAGAUAUAUGUUGGAACUAGUAAAUAUUCAAAAAAUGGAAAAAAUAAUAACUAGUUAAAAUGUUUUAGGAGCCAACUGUAGGCUACUGUUGUUUUAAGCCACCAUCUGCUCCUGCU
rnacentral:misc_RNA from 1 species